CCUACGGGCGGCAGCAGUCGAGAAUCAUUCACAAUGGGGGAAACCCUGAUGGUGCGACGCCGCGUGGGGGAAUGAAGGUCUUCGGAUUGUAAACCCCUGUCAUGUGGGAGCAAAUUAAAAAGAUAGUACCACAAGAGGAAGAGACGGCUAACUCUGUGCCAGCAGCCGCGGUAAUACAGAGGUCUCACGCGUUGUUCGGAAUCACUGGGCGUAAAGCGUGCGUAGGCUGUUUCGUAAGUCGUGUUUGAAAGGCGCGGGCUCAACCCGCGGACGGCACAUGAUACUGCGAGACUAGAGUAAGGGAGGGGGAACCGGAAUUCUCGGUGUAGCAGUGAAAUGCGUAGAUAUCGAGAGGAACACUCGUGGCGAAGGCGGGUGCCUGGACAUUAACUGACGCUGAAGCACGAAGGCCAGGGGAGCGAAAGGGAUUAGAUACCCCUGUAGUC
rnacentral:rRNA from 1 species